rnacentral:rRNA from 1 species
CCUACGGGCGGCAGCAGUGGGGAAUAUUGCGCAAUGGGCGAAAGCCUGACGCAGCGACGCCGCGUGAGGGAUGAAGGUCUUCGGAUCGUAAACCUCUGUCAGCAGGGAAGAACGGUCACUGUGCUAAUCAGCAGUGAAUUGACGGUACCUGCAAAGGAAGCACCGGCUAACUCCGUGCCAGCAGCCGCGGUAAUACGGAGGGUGCGAGCGUUAAUCGGAAUUACUGGGCGUAAAGCGCUCGUAGGCGGUAUGUCAAGUCAAGGGUGAAAUCCCCGCGCUCAACGUGGGAACUGCCUUUGAAACUGGCAAAGUGGAGUGUGUGAGAGGAUAGUGGAAUUCCAGGUGUAGGAGUGAAAUGCGUAGAUAUUAGGAGGAACACCAGUGGCGAAGGCGACUUUCUGGACUGUACCUGACGCUGAGGCGCGAAAGCGUGGGUAGCGAACGGGAUUAGAUACCCCAGUAGUC